UGUCUUUUUGAAAAUAAUAUAAAGUCUAAUCUGCCCACUGAUUUAAUAUUAAAGGGCUGCAGUAUAUUGACUGUACAAAGGUAGCAUAAUCAUUAGUCAUUUAAUUGGUGACUUGUAUGAAAGAUUGGAUGAGAUAUAAGCUGUCUCUUAAUUAUUAAUAGAAUUUAAUUUUUUAAUUAAAAAGUUAAAAUUAUUUAAAAAGACGAGAAGACCCUAUAGAGUUUUAUAUAUAAAUUUAUUAAAAUUAUUUAUUAAAAUUAAAAUUAAAAUUAAUUUAUUUAUUUUAUUGGGGUGAUAGAAAAAUAUAUUUAACUUUUUUUAUAAUUAUAAACAUUUAUAAGUGAUUAAAUGAUCCAUUAAUAUUGAUUAAAAGAAAAAAUUACCUUAGGGAUAACAGCGUAAUUUUUUUUUUUAGUUCAUAUAAGAAAAAGAGUUUGCGACCUCGAUGUUGGAUUAAGAUAAAAUUUAAAUGCAGAAG
rnacentral:rRNA from 1 species